CAGUAGCUGGUCUGAGAGGAUGAUCAGCCACACUGGGACUGAGACACGGCCCAGACUCCUACGGGAGGCAGCAGUGGGGAAUUUUCCGCAAUGGGCGAAAGCCUGACGGAGCAAUACCGCGUGAGGGAGGAAGGCUCUUGGGUUGUAAACCUCUUUUCUCAAGGAAGAACACAAUGACGGUACUUGAGGAAUCAGCAUCGGCUAACUCCGUGCCAGCAGCCGCGGUAAUACGGAGGAUGCAAGCGUUAUCCGGAAUGAUUGGGCGUAAAGCGUCCGCAGGUGGCGAUGUAAGUCUGCUGUUAAAGAGUGAGGCUCAACCUCAUAAAAGCAGUGGAAACUACAUAGCUAGAGUGCGGUAGGGGCAGAGGGAAUUCCUGGUGUAGCGGUGAAAUGCGUAGAGAUCAGGAAGAACACCGGUGGCGAAAGCGCU
rnacentral:rRNA from 1 species